rnacentral:piRNA from 1 species
UUGAACAAAAACAUCAAGCAAAUGUACUU